rnacentral:tRNA from 1 species
GGCGACGUAGCCAAGUGGUUAAGGCGGGGGUCUGCAAAACCUCUAUUCACCGGUUCGAAUCCGGUCGUCGCCUCCA